UACGUAGGGUGCGAGCGUUAAUCGGAAUUACUGGGCGUAAAGCGUGCGCAGGCGGUUUUGUAAGCCAGAUGUGAAAUCCCCGGGCUCAACCUGGGAAUGGCAUUUGGGACUGCAAGGCUGGAGUGCGGCAGAGGAGACUGGAAUUCCUGGUGUAGCAGUGAAAUGCGUAGAUAUCAGGAGGAAUACCGAUGGCGAAGGCAGGUCUCUGGGCUGACACUGACGCUCAUGCACGAAAGCGUGGGAGCAAACGAGGAUUA
rnacentral:rRNA from 1 species